AGUGAACGCUGGCGGUAGGCCUAACACAUGCAAGUCGAACGGCAGCACAGUAAGAGCUUGCUCUUACGGGUGGCGAGUGGCGGACGGGUGAGGAAUACAUCGGAAUCUACUUUUUCGUGGGGGAUAACGUAGGAAAAUUACGCUAAUAACGCCUACGACCUUCGGGGGAAAGCCGGGGAUCCUCCGAACUUUCGCGGAUUGAUUAGCCGAUGUCGGAUUAGCUAGUUGGCGGGGUAAAGGCCCAACAAGGCGACGAUCCGUAGCUGGUCUGAGAGGAUGAUCAGCCACACUGGAACUGAGACACGGUCCAGACUCCUACGGGAGGCAGCAGUGGGGAAUAUUGGACAAUGGGCGCAAGCCUGAUCCAGCCAUACCGCGUGGGUGAAGAAGGCCUUCGGGUUGUAAAGCCCUUUUGUUGGGAAAGAAAAGCAGCAGGUUAAUACCCCGCUGUUCUGACGGUACCCAAAGAAUAAGCACCGGCUAACUUCGUG
rnacentral:rRNA from 1 species